ensembl:rRNA 5S_rRNA 5S ribosomal RNA
UUAAACAUGCCAUAUCUCCCAGCAGCCCAAGACCGGUUACUUAUUGAAGCUAAGCAGGGCUGAGCCUGGUCAGUACCUUUAUGAGCGACCACAAGGGAAAACUAGGUUGCUGUUAGAA